rnacentral:rRNA from 1 species
GCCUAAUACAUGCAAGUCGAGCGGACAGAUGGGAGCUUGCUCCCUGAUGUUAGCGGCGGACGGGUGAGUAACACGUGGGUAACCUGCCUGUAAGACUGGGAUAACUCCGGGAAACCGGGGCUAAUACCGGAUGGUUGUUUGAACCGCAUGGUUCAAACAUAAAAGGUGGCUUCGGCUACCACUUACAGAUGGACCCGCGGCGCAUUAGCUAGUUGGUGAGGUAACGGCUCACCAAGGCAACGAUGCGUAGCCGACCUGAGAGGGUGAUCGGCCACACUGGGACUGAGACACGGCCCAGACUCCUACGGGAGGCAGCAGUAGGGAAUCUUCCGCAAUGGACGAAAGUCUGACGGAGCAACGCCGCGUGAGUGAUGAAGGUUUUCGGAUCGUAAAGCUCUGUUGUUAGGGAAGAACAAGUACCGUUCGAAUAGGGCGGUACCUUGACGGUACCUAACCAGAAAGCCACGGCUAACUACGUGCCAGCAGCCGCGGUAAUACGUAGGUGGCAAGCGUUGUCCGGAAUUAUUGGGCGUAAAGGGCUCGCAGGCGGUUUCUUAAGUCUGAUGUGAAAGCCCCCGGCUCAACCGGGGAGGGUCAUUGGAAACUGGGGAACUUGAGUGCAGAAGAGGAGAGUGGAAUUCCACGUGUAGCGGUGAAAUGCGUAGAGAUGUGGAGGAACACCAGUGGCGAAGGCGACUCUCUGGUCUGUAACUGACGCUGAGGAGCGAAAGCGUGGGGAGCGAACAGGAUUAGAUACCCUGGUAGUCCACGCCGUAAACGAUGAGUGC